rnacentral:misc_RNA from 1 species
UAAGAUGUCUGCUGCAGGUGCUCAGG